CAGUUAAACAUCUGCUCCUCACUGUCACACCCACAAAGGAUUAAACACAAGGAAAUUCAAAGUACUUUACAUCAUAAACAAGUAUGAGAAUAUUUAAAAAAUAAAAACAUCUUGAGUGUUCAAAACAUUCUUAGGUUUCUAAAUAUGAUUAUUUUGCUUUGUUUUACUUUUUUGACUCUUGAAUUUAUUAUUAUGAUCGUCUCUUUCACAGAAUAAUACUUUUUAAAAACUGCCAGGAUACAAGUACUCCGUUAUUUGGAAACAAAAAAAAAAGCUGAAGAAAUCACAGUAAGUUCUACUAUUAAUAGAAUCACCCAGAUAUUAAUUUGUUCAAUUAUUAAGAAAAGUAGAGUACUUCAUAGAAAUUUGAAUUAUAUCUCAAAUUAGAAGAUAUAAUUAUGGGUUCCUAAAGAGUUCCUAUGGAAUUAUAAAAAAUAAUGCCUGGUAUAUUGGUUAAUCUGUCAGCAAUUCUCAGGAAUCCCCACAUAAAAAUUCUUGUGGUGGUUCAUUUAAACUAGAUGUCAAUGUUUUAAGAUAUGUAGAAUUUAGCAGAAGGAAUUUCGUACAAGAUCAUAUCCUAUUUUGUUGUUUUCUUUUAUAAAUGCUAGCGG
rnacentral:lncRNA from 1 species